AUAAAGGAACUAUACUUUAAUUAAAAACAUUAAUAUAUCAGGAACAAAGGUAACUACAAAAAAAGAAAAUAGAGAAAAAUCAAAAUAAAGUGCUGUUUCUUUAGGAUAAUCAGUAAUAUCAAUAAAUGUCUAAGAAGAUUGACAAUGAUUAAAAAAGAUAGUUGAGGAGUUCCUGUGGUGGCGCAGUGGUUAACGAAUCCGACUAGGAACCAUGAGGUUGCAGGUUCGGUCCCUGCCCUUGCUCAGAGGGUUAAGGAUCCGGCGUUGCCGUGAGCUGUGGUGUAGGUUGCAGACGUGGCUCGGAUCCCGCGUUGCUGUGGCUCUGGAGCCAGCGACUAUAGCUCCGAUUGGACCUCUAGCCUGAGAACCUCCGUAUGCCACGAGUAUGGCCCUAGAAAAGAGAAACAAACAGAAACAAAAAAAAAAAUUUCCUCAAAAAGGACCAACUAUCCAAUUCAUCCAAUAUGAAAAAGAUACUCUGAAUAACUGCAUAUUUAUCAGGUAAUAUGUAAUUUUAAAAGUAUCCAGAACAUCUCCAGGCACAAAUGGUUCACUGGAGAAUGCCAAAAAACAUCAAAACAACAAUUAAAAACAAUUACACACAGUCUUCCUGCAAAAUAGAAGAGAACAAUCCCUCCCAACUCAACUUGGGAAGCAACUACUUGACACCAUAACCACACAAUGAAAGUAGUUAAAAACAAGCAAACAAAUACUAAGAACUAUUCAUCAUCAAUCAAGGGAUUAGAGGAAAAAUUGCUCAAAAACUAUAAAUCAAAUGGAAUGCUUUAAUAUAAUAUGUAUAUAAAAAACUUAUAUUCCACAGCCAAGUGGGGUUUAUUUCAAGGAUGCAAGGCUGGUUCAAUAUGCAAAACUCAGUGCACUACAUCACAUCAAUUAAGAUACUGAAGAAAACUCAAGAUGAUCAUGUCAACCGGAGAUAAAGCAUUUGACAAAACUCAACACUCAUUCACCAUAACAAAAAUCUCAGCAAAUUAAGAACAGAGGGAAACUUUCUAGACUUGUUGGAAAACUCUAUGGAAAAAGAACCUUACACCUAACAUUGCACUUAAUGAAAAACUGAACGUGUUCCCUCUAACAUCAGGAACCAGACAAGGAUAUCCUUUAUUACUCUGAUUCAACAUACUGGAAGUCCUAGCUAAUGCAGUGAAAUAACAAGUGCAGAGACAGGAAGAAAUAAAACUAAUUUGGAGUUCCCGUCAUGGCUCAGUGGAAAUGAAUCUGACUAGUAUCCAUGAGGACGCAGAUUCACUCCCUGGCCUCUCUCGGUGGGUUAAGGAUCCAGUGCUGCCAUGAGCUUUAGCGUAGUUUGAAGAUGCAGCUCAGAUCUGGUGCGGCUGUGGCUGUGGUGUAGGCCAGCAGCUACAGCCCCAAUUCCACCCCUAGCUUGGGAAACUCCAUAUGCCACAGGUGCAGCUGGAAGAAGACAGAAAAAAAAAAAAGAAAAAAAAAAAGGAAAUAAAACUAAUUUGCGGUUGCCAUUUCUACACAGAAAUGCCAAGGAUUCUAUCCAAAGAAAUGGCUAGAAACAAUAAGAACUGAGUUCAGUCGUGAGUGCAAGAUACUGAAAUAUUACUCCAGGAACAAUUAUCUUUCGGAAUACUACUAAAGAUCACAUGGAAAUUGAAAGUUUAUGUCAUCUGAAAAAUCACAUGGAAAAAAACCCCACCAACUGCUUAGACAUAAAUAAUAACAAAAAUGUAUAAAACCUGUACUGUUGAAAUUUAUAAAAUGCUAAGGAACUAUCAAUAAUUACUUAAAUAGGAGUUCCCACUGUGGCUCUCAGCAAGUUAAGAACCCGACUAGUCCCCAUGUGGAUUCAGGUUUCACUCCUGGCCUCACUCAGUGUUGCUAUGUGCUGGUGUUGCUAUGUGCUGCACUGUAGGCUGCAUAUGCAGCUUGGAUCUCAAGUUGUAUAGAUUAUAUCUGCAGGUCCGACUCAUCCCUAGCCCAGGAACUCCCACAUGCCACAGGUGCAGCCAUAAAAAGGAGCAGGAAAGGAAAAAAUUAAAUAAAUGAAGGGUCAUAUCAUGUAAUGUGUUCAUGGUGCUACUUCUGAAACUGCUCUACAGGUUUACAUCGAUUUUGAUAAAUAUGUGGGCAAGAUUUUUUUGCAUCCUAAGAUCUGUAGCUGCCAGCCACAGCCACAGCAAUGUAGGAUCUAACCCAUGUCUGCGACCUACAGCACAGCUCAUGGCAACACCGGAUCUUAACCCACUGAGAGAGGCCAAGGAUCAAACCCACAUCCUCACGGAUACUAGGUGGAUUCACUUCUCCUGCACCACAACAGGAACUCCCUCAUUUUACCCAAUUUUAAAUUUUACUGUAUAGCUAUAUAAAUUAAGUACACAAUACACUGGAUCAAUAAAAAGACUGAAUGCGUAGUGGUUAAAGCCACCAAAAGAACAGCCGGGUUCUUCCAAAAAACUAAAGCCUGAAAAGCCUUAACCGGCAUGAUAAAAUGGGCCCAUCUGUCCUAUGUGCAUCCUUAGCUGCGUAAAUACCUGCCCCCAACCAUCUAACUCUCCAGACACCGGACAGCAAUGACUGUAUACGCACAAGACACAGGAAGGAUCAAGGCCCUUUGCCUCUGAAAUAACACCCCCUUCACCCCAAGUAAACUAAGGAAUCCAUGACAAAGUGCCGAAAGCUUGACAGAGGAGUCUCAGAGAAACUGUGUUUGCGAUACAUUUUCUCUUCUAAGUCUCCACCUUCUCUUUAUAAAAAUUCCUGAGAUAAUACUGCAGUGUAAACUAAGGAGAAAAACAGUAGCUAAACAAACAGUCUCUCCCUCACCGAUGAAUUCUGAGAUGCAGAAUAAGGCUUGACGCUGCGCCAGUCUCUCAAAUGCGUCUUCACACAACUGAUGGAUGACCUGUGACAGGUUCUCUCAUCGUGAAGAUACCUGUGGGGUUUCUCUUUGGUAUGUACGAUCAGACGUUGUGGUAGAUGUUUUCUCCUGCAAAAGAGUCUCCUCGGGGUUUACAUUCAGAAAGUCUUUUCCCAGCAGGAGUUCUCGGAGGGUGGCUGAGGUUUGGUCACCUGGGAAGGGUCUUCCCACAUCUGUCACGCUGACAGGGUUUCGCCCAGUAUGAACCCUUUGAUGCUGAGUGAGGGAGGAGCUGCGACUGAAGGCCUUUCCACACUCACUGCACUUGUAAGGCUUCUCUCCCGUGUGGAUGAUGGCGUGUCGAAUGAGGUUGGUGCUCCAGCAGAAGGAUUUCCCACACUCCAUGCAUUCAUAGGGCUUCUCGCCACUGUGAAUCCGCUGGUGCCUUGUCAGGCCUGACCUGCGGUUAAAGGCCUUCCCACACUCCGUGCACUCAUGGGGCUUCUCCCCAGUGUGGACGCUGAAGUGCCGAAUGAGAUCUUUCCGAGUGCUAAAGGCUUUUCCACAUUCUUUGCACUCAAAGGGCUUCUCGCCAGUGUGGGCCCUUUUAUGCAAGAUGAAGGUGGAGCAGUGGGUGAAGGCCCUUCCACACUCGGUGCACACAAAAGGCUUCUCCCCGGUGUGAAUCCGCUGGUGCCUCUUGAGGUAGGACCUGUGGUUGAAGGCCUUCCCGCACUCGAGGCACUCGAAGGGCUUCUCCCCGGUGUGGAUGACGUAGUGGUGAAUGAGGGCGGCGCUCUCACAGAAGGCCUUGCCGCACUCGCUGCACUCAUAGGGCUUCUCCCCGGUGUGUGUCUGCUGGUGCCACACGAGGUACGACUUGUGUUUGAAGACCUUGCCACACUCAAAGCACUCGUACGGAUUCUCGCCGCUGUGGACGAUGUGAUGUCGAAGGAAUCCGGGCCUAUGUCGGAACACCUGCCCACAUUCUUUGCACACGAAGGAUUUCUCCCCGGUGUGUCUCCUCUUAUGUAAGACAAAAUUGGAGCGGUGGGUG
rnacentral:lncRNA from 1 species